CUGCUUCAGGUCACACGGACUGAGACAGGGCCUGCUUGGGGCCCCAAACUCCCCACCCUCCUUGGGAGCCCUUGGGGCCAGAACCAAGGCGUCCUCACUGGGAUGUCUGAUCUGAUGAAACUUUCAGGAAAUACACCCUGCUUUGGGACCCGCACCUCUGGGCGCAGAGCAGAACCAGACCCAGAGAUGGGAAGGGAUUUCUCACUCUGACUUUCCCCGGCAUGACAAGCCUGAGAUAGUUUGGUGAGCACACGUUGUCACACCUGUGCGUGGAGGAGGUCUGCAAGCAACACAGUGUGAAAGUAAGAAAUUAACAUGCAUAACUGCACAUCUAACACACUGCACAGAGGAAGGAAUUACUUUCCAGUUGUUUCCCUAUCACCGUGAUAGCAGGUUACAGGCGCUGUAGCCUGGACUUGGAAGUGAGUCUCCCUGGGCUCUGUUCACAGCCCUGCUGUACCCCUCCAGAACUCUGUCACAUUGAGCCCCUCAUGAAACAUCAGAACCUCGGUUUCUUCAGCUUCAAAAUGCAGAGGAGUGAUCAUCUGGCAGGACAGAGAGGCAGCCAAGCACAGGGUGAGGUCUGGGCCCUGGACUGUUGCUACUGGCCUUACUGCUUCAUGCUAUGCGGCUGGGCAGGUGACUCAACUGCUCAGGGGUCAGCUUCCUCCCCCGCAGAGUUUUGGGAGGAUGAAAAGAGUGAGCCUGGGUAAAGUACUCAGUGUCUGGCGACCCCUACUCUGUAUAAACGGCCGCUGUUGGGAGAAUGAAUGAGAUCCUUGUGUAAAGGGCCUUGCAUGGUGGUGGCACCCAGGUCACACUCUCUUGGAGACAGUUGUACCACUGUCAGCAUCACAUUCAGUGAGAAGUGGAAGGUUUCCCAUUUUUACCCGAUUUUUCUGACGGAUCUAGAACUGAUUUCCAUGAACUGAAUGGGCUGCCCUGGAAAAGGCAGGGAAGGAAGAGAAUCAGGACCUUGGAUUGGGGGCAGGGUUUGGCUCAAGACUAAGAAACUAAACUGAGUCUUGCUGUGUCAUUUUGUAUAUGUGUGUACACUUAUACAAAAGGGACACAUUUUAGAAGGGACACUUAUUAGAAAACUUCCUCUGGGGAUGAGAUGGCGGUGGGGCAGAGAGACACGGUCAUUUCACAGAAGGUUACAGUAAACAAGAAUGACUGCUUCUGCUACAAAAACACUGAGAUUUUUGGUAAACUGAGCCUUUGAGAAUUUUCUGCAUUGUACUGUGCUGAAGUGCAGAAACAUCUGGAUUGACUGAAACAAGCAGCUGACUGAGGUUUUAGAAGGCAGUAUCUCCUACAAGUUCAACCCCAGACUCCACAGUUCACAUUCUGAGCACGUUCACAUCCGCAGGCCUGACUGCAAUUCCAGUCCAGGCUGAGGAGUUUGGAAACAACCUCCCUGUGGAUCGGGAACUGGAAGGAGGAGAGAGAGGCUGUGCACCUGUGCUGCUGGGAACCUCCUCUCCUGCGGCUUCUGUUUUCCAGCACAGCCUGGUGAAGAGGGUCUGGGCAAGAUUCUGUCUGAGCAGAACACAGGGUGGUCUGCAGUGAGCAGACGGAAGACUUACGUCUGCACGUUCAGGGCUGGGGUUGGGGGCCGACUGUGGU